rnacentral:rRNA from 1 species
AUUGAACGCUGGCGGCAUGCCUCACACAUGCAAGUCGAACGGUAACGCGGGGCAACCUGGCGACGAGUGGCGAACGGGUGAGUAAUGCAUCGGAACGUGCCUGGUAGUGGGGGAUAACUGCUCAAAAGAGCAGCUAAUACCGCAUACGACCUGAGGGUGAAAGGGGGGGAUCGCAAGACCUCUCGCUAUCAGAGCGGCCGAAGUCGGAUUAGCUAGUUGGUGGGGUAAAGGCCCACCAAGGCGACGAUCCGUAGCUGGUCUGAGAGGACGACCGGCACACCUGGUGCUGAGAGACGGCGGAGAAUCCGACGGGAGGCAGCAGUGGGGAAUUUUGGACAAUGGACGCAAGUCUGAUCCAGCCAAGCCGCGUGCGGGAAGAAGGCCUUCGGGUUGUAAACCGCUUUUGUCAGGGAAGAAAUCUUCUGGGUUAAUACCUCGGGAGGAUGACGGUACCUGAAGAAUAAGCACCGGCUAACUACGUGCCAGCCGCCGCCGUAAGAC